UACGAAGGGGGCUAGCGUUGCUCGGAAUCACUGGGCGUAAAGCGCACGUAGGCGGCUUUCUAAGUCAGGGGUGAAAUCCUGGAGCUCAACUCCAGAACUGCCUUUGAUACUGGAGAGCUUGAGUCCGGAAGAGGUGAGUGGAACUCCGAGUGUAGAGGUGAAAUUCGUAGAUAUUCGGAAGAACACCAGUGGCGAAGGCGGGUCUCUGGACAGUUCCUGACGCUGAGGCACGAAGGCCAGGGGAGCAAACGGG
rnacentral:rRNA from 1 species